AGCUUUGCGCAGUGGCAGUAUCGUAGCCAAUGAGGUUGAUCUGAGGUGCGAUUAUUGCUAAUUGGGAAAAAAAAAGAAUGGACUUCUGACACAUGCUACAAUACAGAUGAACUUUGAAGACAUUAUGCCAAGUG
rnacentral:snRNA from 1 species